rnacentral:rRNA from 1 species
UCUUGGGGCCGUAUCACCCUGAACACAUCUGGGCUUAGGAGUAAAGCAGGAUAGGGCGUGGUCAGAAGCUUGAUGGGAGACCACUUGGUGCUGUUAGCUUUGGGGC